GGAGAAGUGGGCAAGGCCUCACAACCAGUAAGAGUGACAGCUAGGAACCAAGCGUUUGUCUUUAGAUCACCAUGCUCUGUCAGCCAGGAGGAAGUGGACGAUACUGUCUCUGCCACCAGGACGAAGGUGAGAGUCUGUCAGAUGAAAUCGCUUGCCUGGGGCAGCUAGCAAAUAACUUCCCACAUCCCAUGUCCGGAACCACUAUGCGCCCUGCUCUUCUAAGAAUGUCUCCAGGAGACCCAGCCAAGACUACGGCUGAGGACCAAGUGUCCCCUUCCAAGAAGCUGCUUUUCCGCUAGUUGGGCUGACAGGGAAGAGAUGCGCCUCUAAGCUGCUUCUGAGGCGCCCAUCACUGGAAGACCCCUUGUGGUAGCCUCCUCUACACAGCUUAGAUAAAGAGUCUAUUAGCUUCCCCAGAGCGGGUUCUGGAAGCUGGAUCUGGCACGAAGCAGAAGUCAGCCCCUCAGCGGUGCCUCUUCCUUCAGCCUACCAUCCUCGCCCCUCCCACUGGAUUCCCGACACUGGAUUUCUCUCGCCAGCGUCCCUGAGCCCAGGGCACAGGAUCAUUUCUUCCUAAACUGUCCCUGGAGCCAGGGCAGUUAUGCAUCCUGCCCGCCACUGUUGUCAGUGCACACUUGCAGAGGUUUCUGUGGAAUUCAGGCUUCAGUAAACACUUGAGAAGGAGGAAGUGGGCCAAGAAAUCCGAGGACGAUUGCAUCAGGACUGGCGCACACUGCCCUUUCCCAUCUCCGUCUCUGAGAAGCCCUCCCUCUUUGUCCUGGAGGGGCGGGGAGGCAAUUAAGGCCUUGGACCAUCCCCUGGCCUUCUCUGGGCCCCCUGGUCUAGGGGAGAGGCUAAUGCUGGUGAGGAGGGGAACGCUGAAGAUGGGCCUCAGGUGUGAAUUGUAUGUGGCCUUCUGGACCUGGAGUUUGAAAGCUGCAGAGGGCAAAAGUGAAAGAGUCCAAAAAGGCUGGGAAGCUGUGUUUCUGGAGAGGCAGCCAGAAGCCAGGCUCCAUACACGUGAAACAGUAACUGCGGUGCCAGCUGCAGUCCAGCUGCGGAAACAGUGGCUGCUUGGUCAGGGGCGCUGAUUCGGAAGCAGCCACCUUUUGUAUACUGACCCUGCUGGUUCAUAUGCCGUAUCUUAGAAUCCCAGCAAGACUCCUCGGGAUUGGUGCCUUGGCCAGUGAGGUCUAGUAGAGGAACGGAGAAACAAGGAGCCAAGGAAGCAGGCAGAGGAGAUCAGGAUCCUGUCCCCUCUUCUCUUCUUCCAUUUUACAGAAGCCGGGGAGAAAUAUGAAAACUCAACUGUGCCCUGCACCAGCCUCCGCCCCCAAGUUAAGGAACACAAAAGAGAAAUGCCAGGAGACGUGAGCAUUCCCUUCAGAGCCGCCGCUGGUCAUGAAACCCCAUCAUCACUUAAAUCGCCCUAUUUUAAAGGAUCUGUUGCAAAGGAUUUGGCUUGAAGAUUCUAAACUCUAUUUAGCUCCAGGCCUUAAUCACUGCGGAGCUGAGAAUUUUAUAAUCACAAAGAUGGAAGAAUCCUAGAGGUCAAGUGGCUCAGAGAUUCUCCAAUGUUUAGACUUUAUCAAAAUUUAAAGUUUGGAAAAUGAAGAGGGAGAUGUCUAAGAGCUUUUAAGUCUGGAAAAACACAACUAUCAAAUAAACGCAACUAUCUUGUGUGGCAACUGUCACUUUACAUUUGUAGACUCAAACAGGAGGAUGGUUACAUUUUUACAUUAGUGAGGCGGCCUUAAACAGAAGAAAUUCAACACACACGUACACACUUUGAGCAGGGACAUGGUGGCACAUGCCUGUAAUCCCCAGCACUUGGAAGGUGGAAGCAGAAGAAUCAGGCACUCAAAGUCAUCCUCAGUGACACAAUAAGUUCAAGGCCAACUUGGCUUUAUGAGAUGAAAAAAAUUCACCACUAUUGGUAUUUUUCUUAUUUCAUGCAUUAGCUCCAGACAGAGGGUGAACAUUUGAAAACUACUGACCUGUUUACUGUUCAUUUGUUUUCAAGACAAGCUUUCUCUGCAUGGCCCUGGCUAUUAUGAAACUCUGUAGACCAGGCUGGCCUCAAACUCACAGAGGUCCACCUGCCUCUGCCUCCCGAGUGCUGGGACUAAAGGCGUGUGUCACCACCACCCAGUUUACAUAUUUUUAUUUAUGUAUAUUUGUUAUGUCUGUAUGAGUGCAUUCACAUUGUGCAGAUGCCCUUGAAGGCCAAGAGAGCAUCGGAUCCCCAGCUGAC
rnacentral:lncRNA from 1 species